rnacentral:rRNA from 1 species
UACGAAGGGGGCUAGCGUUGUUCGGAAUUACUGGGCGUAAAGCGCACGUAGGCGGAUUGUUAAGUCAGGGGUGAAAUCCUGGAGCUCAACUCCAGAACUGCCCUUGAUACUGGCAAUCUUGAGUCCGGAAGAGGUAAGUGGAACUGCGAGUGUAGAGGUGAAAUUCGUAGAUAUUCGCAAGAACACCAGUGGCGAAGGCGGCUUACUGGUCCGGUACUGACGCUGAGGUGCGAAAGCGUGGGGAGCAAACAGGG